rnacentral:rRNA from 1 species
AGUAGGAUAGGCGAAGCGUGCUGUUGGAGUGCACGUCCAAGCAGUAAGGCUGAGUGUUAGGCAAAUCCGGCACUCAUAAGGCUGAGCUGUGAUGGGGAGAGGAAAUUGUUUCCUCGAGUCGUUGAUUUCACACUGCCGAGAAAAGCCUCUAGAUAGAUAACAGGUGCCCGUACCGCAAACCGACACAGGUAGUCAAGAUGAGAAUUCUAAGGUGAGCGAGCGAACUCUCGUUAAGGAACUCGGCAAACUCGG